CCUACGGGAGGCAGCAGUGGGGGAUAUUGCACAAUGGGGGGAACCCUGAUGCAGCGACGCCGCGUGGGUGAAGGAGCGUUUCGGCGCGUAAAGCCCUAUCGGCAGAGAAGAAGAUGACGGUACCUGACCAAGAAGCCCCGGCUAACUACGUGCCAGCAGCCGCGGUAAUACGUAGGGGGCAAGCGUUAUUCGGAUUUACUGGGUGUAAAGGGGGCGCAGACGGCAAUGCAAGCCAGAAGUGAAAGCCUGGGGCCCAACCCCGGGACUGCUCUUGGAACUGCUUGGCUGGAGUACAGGAGGGGCAGGCGGAAUUCUUGGUGUAGCGGUGAAAUGCGUAGAGAUUAGGAGGAACACUGGUUGCGAAGGCGGCCUGCUGGAACGUGACUGACGUUGAGGCGCGAAGGCGUGGGGAGCAAACAGGAUUAGAUACCCGUGUAGUC
rnacentral:rRNA from 1 species